CUUCCCAUCCCGAACAGGACCGUGAAACGACUCCACGCCGAUGAUAGUGCGGAUUGCCCGUGUGAAAGUAGGUAAUCGUCAGGC
rnacentral:rRNA from 1 species